GAAAUGAUCGACUGGUCUUCUACAGUAGUAUCACCUCCUCCAGUACUUAGGAAUGUGUCAAAUGCAGUUUUGGUAUCUUCCAUUGAUAACCAACUAUCAAUCGGUCAAAGCAACUUGCUAAGCUUUCCAUGCCACACUCAAGCAGUAGAGCGAACUGUUAAGCUUGUUACUGAAGCGUCGAAGAAGUUUGCCUAAAUUUGAGAACAAGUCCCAGUAUACAACAGACAAAUAAAACAAAAUCG